rnacentral:lncRNA from 1 species
UAAUGCGAAAAUAAUAGGAAAAAAAAAAGAAUCUGAUACUAGCAAAAUGAAAAGGAAAAAGAAACUCAAAAAUCACCUCUUGAUAUUUUUUCUUUUGUAUUCUGAAUGUGUGUAUUGAAUGCGUAACUUUUUUACAGCGUUCGAAUGGCUUUCUUAUAGCCCGAUUUACAGAAAAUAAAAUGAAAAAAAUAAAAAUUUC